GGUCCACCUAGGCCACAUAGGCCAUGUAGCGCUGUUUGCCCGCUCUUCCCGUUUGCCUUCCGUUAUACAGAGUGUGUGGUACUCCGGGCGGCCUUUAGCUCAUCAGGCUCUGGUUCCAGCCGGUCCCCGCGCUCAAGCUUAAUCUUGGAAAGAACCAGAAUCUGGAUUGCUUCCAGGCCAUCCAGACAGCUAUUUCAACUGGAACAAGUGACCUUUGGAACAGACCAGAACAUAGCAACUUGGCCAGACAGAGGGGAGGAAGAAGUCAACUGGGAAGACUACAAAAUGUCCUUGUGAAAUCUCAUUCGAAUAGGACAAUAAAAGAUAAAUGAAAUUAAAAAUGUUUAAAUCCAGUGAAAACAGUGUGCUUCUGUUAUUGAAUUCGAAGUUACCUUUGGAGAUUGUACCUGUCAUGAUUUAAUACACAAGCACAGCAAAUGUCGCUCUCCACUCCUUUGAGUGCAGGCCAUCUUCUUCAAUUACAUGGCAUUUAUUUUUAAUCUUCAUAACCCUUUGAGGUUCAGUGAUCAUUCUUUUGUUUCCUUCUCUCAAUGGGGCCAACUUUCCCUAGCCUAUGAUUAGAUGAUUGUUAUAUGCUUUUAGAUAAUUGUCAAGAGCUUUAUUUAGCAAAAUAUUG
rnacentral:lncRNA from 1 species